AGAAAACAUCCCUCAUCCUUCAAUUUCAAAAUACUGCCUUUGGCCCAGGACUACCUAGAAGAAGGCUGCCUGUGCUCAAAAGUGGUUGUGGAUCCCAUAGGUGCUAACAUCUGGAGGCUGUCAGUUCUAUUUAUUUUAACAUAUCAAGAGAAGUUAUAUUUCAUUUUACAGAAGAAAAUUAUAUCAGAAAGAUUUCUCUCACUAGAAACAAACAAUGAAGGAAGGGCUCACGAAUCUGGAAAGUUCAAAGUUGGUUGACCAGCUUACCUUUGUCAUGAUGGACCCACUUUACCAGUUGUUUUCGAUCUCUCCAUUCUGUCAAUUAUGGUGUACCCCUAACUCUGAAACUGGCUCCUUUAAUGGAUAUGAGAUAUACUUUCUUUUUCCUGUACAAGGUAAGAAUGUACUUCUGCCCAAAAUUUUGAGUAUAAGUACUAAAAUUCAUUUUGAAGGGUCUAAUUUUGGUCCCGAGGCAACCUAUGAACCAAUGAUCAUACCCAUGGAAAUAAAAUUUAUAUAAGCCAGUUUGGGUCCUCUGGGAAAUGGAAGUAGGAACAGCUUCACUCAAAGCACAUGAGCUGGGUAGAGGUCUCCAUACCAUCAAGAAAACUAGGAAAAUGUACAAAAUGGAAAUUAUGGAGUAUAAAGCAAACAGGUAACUAAGAAAUACCUACUACACAACUACAAACUAUAUCCUGGUUGUUGGGGUCAAGGCCUGGAAACUGUCACAUUCCCAUAUACUUUAAAUCAUCUCCAAAUUACUUAU